CAAUGAUGCAUAGCCGAGUUGAGAGACUGAUCGGCCACAUUGGGACUGAGACACGGCCAAAACUCUACGGGGAGGCAGCAGUAGGAAUCUUCCACAAUGGACGCAAGUCUGAUGGAGCAACACCGCGUGAGUGAAGAAGGUUUUCGGAUCGUAAAAGCUCUGUUGUUGGUGAAGAAGGAUAGAGGUAGUAACUGGCCCUUAUUUGACGGUAAUCAACCAGAAAGUCACGGCUAACUACGUGCCAGCAGCCGCGGUAAU
rnacentral:rRNA from 1 species